GACACUCAAAUUAGUAUGAUAUGUUAUGUUUGGUAUGGUUAAAAAAUAAACUAAAAUAGUGUGUUUGGUAGGGCAUAUAACGCAAACAUCUAGCAACUGAAAGGUUCGUGUUCGAAUCCCAUCACGGACAACUUUAGCAUUUUAGUUCAUUACCAACUUUGCAACUUACCUCUUUUUUUUUUAGCUACUUUGCAACUACAGUACAUAGCAUAUUAGGUAACCCUUCCAUAACAUUAACCCUUUUACCAUAAUGUUAACCACAACAAAUUGGAAUUCGUAAGAUCUCAUACGUUCUGAAAAUGUGCAACAUAUUGUACGAAUUGCAAUUCUUAACAUAUCAUGCAAAAUGUAAUUUAUAACAAAUCAUACAAAAUGGAUGAUGGACAUCCACAAAUUAAUACAUACCAAUACGAAACAUUAACAUAUCAAACUAAUUGGAGGGAACCAGAUUUACCUUUACUAUGUUGUGUCUACCCCUGAGUCCAGGUUUCUCAGGCAUGCUCCUAGACCUCCUGUUGACUUCUAUGGCUGCCUCUUCUCUCUCCUCCUCAUCUUUGGACCACCCUUCCUGUCCUGUGUUCCCCUGGCCUGCUGUCCUGCUCCACAUGGGGUUGAUGCAGAUCUGGAAGGUGAUGGAGGAGAGGACCUGCUGCGUUUCAGACUUCAGCGGGCGGCCCCUAACUCUCAUGUCCUUGUCUCCCUCUUUCUUGUCCAGGCAGUCACACAGCACUGAGUGAAAGAUACGAGACACCUCGCCCACCUUCGGUUCCAACUCUGUCACCAGCUUCCUUGUCCUAGACAUGACAAAGAUUAUGUAUGGAGAAAAAGAGAGAGAAUGGCCGUAAAGAGGCAGAACAAUAAACAGCAUGGUCAUAUUACAGAAGCUACUGUGCCCAGCCCCCCGCGCCUCCACCAAUCACACCAGACAUUCCUUUGAUUGCCAGACAGCAGGUUGACUGGCAUGCUGGACCCCGUGAAACCUUUAUUAACUGGUAAACAUCUUGCAGAGACAGAGAAUACUAAGAUACCAACUAGGAGAAGAGUAACUGGGAAUCUGAGUACUGCAGUCAUCUCUGAGGGAACAGAAGGAAGGACUCUUACAUUUUCUUAUAUUGUCCUUGUAAAAAUGAUAAGAUAAGUUGCGAUGGUCUCGAUGACAUUACAACAACCGUGUUUGACAGUAUUGACAUGAUAUUUCAGUUUUUUUUUGUUUUAAUAAAAUGGUUUUCUCUUCCAAUUCAGUUCUGAUUUUCAUGCUGAUCUCUUGAAAUGAAUCAGGGGCUGUUUCAAAUCCAACAGAUUGAACUGAAACCUUUGACCCUUGAUAUUCUGUCAGAAAUACAUCACUAUUUUACCCCAUCAAAUAUCUAGAGUUUAAUACAGGGUAGGGUGUUUUGAUUGGGUGGUCAACUGGCCACUGAUUGGCUCAAGGCAUACCACUGCACUUGUAUUUCCCUCCUUCCCUCUUCUGUACUUUUAUAUUCAAAUGUCCAGUCUCCACUCAGACCAGAUACUCUGAUUAUUGUCAGCGGUAUAUGGAUUAUUGUAUAUUCCUGUUCUUUCUCUGAUUAAUCAGUUUCUCUUUUAUGUUUACUUCAAGAUUGGCAGUAUAUCUCCUCUAUGCCUCUCUGUGCUUGGCCCUGAUUUACAGGCUCCCAGCCCUCUGAGUAAUAAGACUCCUGUUUCAUAGCAGUUGGAAUCAGUUCAGUUUUUUGGUGAGCAAAGGGGAUCUGCAAGCUCUCACAGAUUGAAUUGACAAAGCUAAAUGUGCAUUAAAGUUACUUUGGUGGGUAUUUGUACUGUAACUAAUCAAAUUCUCAUUGUCUGCCAGUGUACCAUACCAGCAGUACAGUAUAGAACAAAGUGCUUCUCAAGAUUGGUAUAACUUCCAAGCAUUUUCUUCAUAAAAAGUCUUACCAUUUGCAUGCAAGCAUUAUAUUUGUGCUUAUUCUGCUUAAAACUGUGUUGCAUUUUAACAUAGCUAACAUUGAUGACUACAGUAUAUGCAGUGACAAAGGAGAGAUAGGGGGAGAAAGUUUGUGUUGGUGUCAAAGCCUUGUUAAACUGAGUAAGCGACUAAUAUAUUUCAUACUGACUGACAAUGAUGGCAAUUGGCCCAGAGUUAACAACAUGGAGGUACAUCAGUUCAUUGCAAAUUUGACUUUUUAUUCUUAGACUUCUUAGACUUAGUGAGACCUAGCUAAGAGUCUAUUAGAGAAUGUAGGAUUUGAAUACUAUGAGAACACAGUACAGAAUUCUCCUCCCCUCAAAAGAUUUAUACAAAUUCAAUGCUUAUACACAUCAUUACUAACAUUUUUUUUCUUCAAUCAUCAGGUCACAGAGAGAGAGAGAGAGAUAAGUAGAUAAGCUCAAUUUUUUUUCCCCUCGCAAAAAUCCAUUCACAGAGCUGGAGGGAGACAUGGUGGAGCUCAGAGAGCUAGUCCACACAAUCAAGAACAAACCCACAAAACAGACCAGCACAACAACCCCCCA